AUACGUAGGUGGCAAGCGUUGUCCGGAUUUACUGGGUGUAAAGGGCGUGUAGGCGGAGAUGCAAGUCAGGAGUGAAAUCUAGGGGCUCAACCCCUAAACUGCUUUUGAAACUGUAUCCCUUGAGUAUCGGAGAGGCAGGCGGGAUUUCUAGUGUAGCGGUGGAAUGCGUAGAUAUUAGGAUGAACACCAGUGGCGAAGGCGGCCUGCUGGACGACAACUGACGCUGAGGCGCGAAAGCGUGGGGGGCAAACAGGAUUAGAUACCCUGGUAGUCCACGCUGUAAACGAUGAAUACUAGGUGUGGGGGGACUGACCCCCUCCGUGCCGCAGUUAACACAAUAAGUAUUCCACCUGGGGAGUACGAUCGCAAGAUUGAAACUCAAAGGAAUUGACGGGG
rnacentral:rRNA from 1 species